rnacentral:rRNA from 1 species
GAUGAACGCUGGCGGCGUGCCUAAUACAUGCAAGUCGAGCGAACAGACGAGGAGCUCGCUCCUCUGACGUUAGCGGCGGACGGGCGAGUAACAAAUGGAUCACCUUCCUCUAUGACUGGGAUAACUACGGGAAAACGGAGACAAUAAUAGAUCAUAUAAUGUACCGGUUGAUUCAGUAGUUCUUGACGGUUUUGCCGACACAUUUAGCUCAUGCCGGAUUAGCUAGUUGGCUUGGUAAGGGCCCACCAAGGCAACGAUCCGUAGCCGGUCUGAGAGGAUGAUCAGCCACACUGGAACUGAGACACGGUCCAGACUCCUACGGGAGGCAGCAGUGGGGAAUCUUCCGCAAUGGGCGAAAGCCUGACGGAGCAACGCCGCGUGAGUGAAGAAGGUCUUCGGAUCGUAAAGCUCUUUUAUUAGGAAAGAACAGAUGUGUAAUAAACUAUGGACGUCUUGACAGUACCUAAUCAGAAAGCCACGGCUAACUUCGUG